GACGAACGCUGGCGGCGUGCUUAACACAUGCAAGUCGAACGGAAAGGCCCUGCUUUUGUGGGGUGCUCGAUUGGCGAACGGGUGAGUAACACGUGAGUAACCUGCCCUUGACUUUGGGAUAACUUCAGGAAACUGGGGCUAAUACCGGAUAGGAGCUCCUGCUGCAUGGUGGUGGUUGGAAAGUUUCGGCGGUUGGGGAUGGACUCGCGGCUUAUCAGCUUGUUGGUGGGGUAGUGGCUUACCAAGGCUUUGACGGGUAGCCGGCCUGAGAGGGUUACCGGGCCAAAUGGGAACGGGGAAAGGGCCAGGACUCUAAGGGAGGGAAGAGGGGGGAAAAAUGGAAAAAGGGCGGAAGCCUGAUGCAGCAACGCCGCGUGCGGGAUGACGGCCUUCGGGUUGUAAACCGCUUUCGCCUGUGACGAAGCGUGAGUGACGGUAAUGGGUAAAGAAGCACCGGCUAACUACGUG
rnacentral:rRNA from 1 species